UACGGAGGAUGCAAGCGUUAUCCGGAAUGAUUGGGCGUAAAGCGUCCGCAGGCGGCUAUGUAAGUCUGCUGUCAAAGCGUCUGGCUCAACCAGAUAAAGGCAGUGGAAACUACAUAGCUAGAGUAAGGUAGGGGUAGAGGGAAUUCCUGGUGUAGCGGUGAAAUGCGUAGAGAUCAGGAAGAACACCCGUGGCGAAAGCGCUCUGCUGGACCUUAACUGACGCUGAGGGCCGAAAGCUAGGGGAGCGAAUGGG
rnacentral:rRNA from 1 species